UACAGAGGGUGCAAGCGUUGUUCGGAAUUACUGGGCGUAAAGAGCACGUAGGCGGGCUUAUCAGCCAUCUGUGAAAUCCCCGAGCUCAACUUGGGAAUUGCAGUUGGAACAGUAAGUCUUGAAUUUCUCAGAGGGUGACGGAAUUCCUGGUGUAGAAGUGAAAUUCAUAGAUAUCAGGAGGAACACCGGAGGCGAAGGCGGUUGCCUGGGGGUAAAUUGACGCUGAGGUGCGAAAGCGUGGGUAGCAAACAGG
rnacentral:rRNA from 1 species